UUAUAGCCAUGACAAGGAUCGGUCUGAAGUUUUCUUCUUCGGCAAGAGUUUGAAACAAACGGAAAAAAACCAAUCAUACCAUAUUUCGUAUAUAUGCAGACGUUUAAAAGUAUCGAGGAGUAUUCUCAAUCUAUAUUCAAAUCAGAAAUCUCGAGCGAGAAGUAAUCGACGUUCCGCCCCCGGCAAACUGUUUAGCAAUACCAUAUGAAACCCAUUCCAUUAUAUAUAGUCCCGCAAUUUACAGAUUGGUACAUAAAUAAGCACUUCCCCCGUCAGGCCCACUUUCGUUUUGACACGGCACCCGGUAUGACCGUGAACCCGCACGUGAAGCGGGGUCUCCGCUGCUCAGCCGCCGUGUUUUGAGCAUUCUAGAGAACCCGACACUCUUAAAAAGCUGCCCGCAAACGCAUUUUCUUGCGCGCGUAUCUAGUUACCAGAAUGCACUGCAGCUCUCAGGUACCCCCGAGCUCGACCGGCACGAGUGGGAUGAGAGAGUGUAGCACGUCCGUUAUCAGCGGACG
rnacentral:lncRNA from 1 species